CCUACGGGAGGCUGCAGUGAGGAACAUUGGUCAAUGGCCGGAAGGCUGAACCAGCCAAGCCGCGUGAAGGACGAAGGUGCCAAGCAUUGUAAACUUCUUUUGUCAAGGGACAAAAUCAUGCUCGAGAGCCUGACCGAGGGUACUUGAAGAAAAAGCAUCGGCUAACUCCGUGCCAGCAGCCGCGGUAAUACGGAGGAUGCGAGCGUUAUCCGGAUUUAUUGGGUUUAAAGGGUGCGUAGGCGGACUGUUAAGUCAGCGGUAAAAGCCCGGGGCUAAACCCCGGCUAGCAGUUGAAACUGGCGGUCUUGAGAUGUCGAGAGGUAGGCGGAAUGCGCGGUGUAGCGGUGAAAUGCUUAGAUAUUGCGCAGAACUCCGAUUGCGAAGGCAGCACACUGG
rnacentral:rRNA from 1 species